rnacentral:rRNA from 1 species
AACGAACGCUGGCGGCAGGCCUAACACAUGCAAGUCGAACGCCCCGCAAGGGGAGUGGCAGACGGGUGAGUAACGCGUGGGAAUCUACCCAGUUCUACGGAACAACUGAGGGAAACUUCAGCUAAUACCGUAUACGCCCGACGGGGGAAAGAUGUAUCGGAAUUGGAUGAGCCAGCGUUGGAUGAGCUAGUGGGUGAGGUAACGGCUCACCAAGGCGACGAGCCAUAGCUGGUCUGAGAGGAUGAUCAGCCACACUGGGACUGAGACACGGCCCAGACUCCUACGGGAGGCAGCAGUGGGGAAUAUUGGACAAUGGGCGCAAGCCUGAUCCAGCCAUGCCGCGUGAGUGAUGAAGGCCUUAGGGUUGUAAAGCUCUUUCAGUGGGGACGAUAAUGACGGUACCCACAGAAGAAGCCCCGGCUAACUUCGUGCCAGCCGCCGCGGUAAAAC